rnacentral:rRNA from 1 species
AGAGUUUGAUUAUGGCUCAGGAUGAACGCUAGCUACAGGCUUAACACAUGCAAGUCGAGGGGCAGCAUGGUCUUAGCUUGCUAAGACUGAUGGCGACCGGCGCACGGGUGAGUAACGCGUAUCCAACCUUCCCCUUAGUAGGGCAUAGCCCGGCGAAAGUCGGAUUAAUACCCUAUGUUCUUCGUAGAGGACAUCUGAAAUGAAGCAAAGACUUGUCGCUAAGGGAUGGGGAUGCGUCUGAUUAGGUUGUUGGCGGGGUAACGGCCCACCAAGCCGACGAUCAGUAGGGGUUCUGAGAGGAAGGUCCCCCACAUUGGAACUGAGACACGGUCCAAACUCCUACGGGAGGCAGCAGUGAGGAAUAUUGGUCAAUGGGCGAGAGCCUGAACCAGCCAAGUAGCGUGCAGGAUGACGGCCCUAUGGGUUGUAAACUGCUUUUAUGCGGGGAUAAAGUGAGGGACGUGUCCCUUUUUGUAGGUACCGCAUGAAUAAGGACCGGCUAAUUCCGUGCCAGCAGCGGC